rnacentral:rRNA from 1 species
AGAGUUUGAUCCUGGCUCAGGACGAACGCUGGCGGCGUGCCUAAUACAUGCAAGUCGAACGAGGAACCGAUGCUUUGCAUCUGAAGCCGAGUGGCGAACGGGUGAGUAACACGUGACCAACCUGCCGUCGGGUGGGGGACAACCUGGGGAAACCCGGGCUAAUACCGCAUAACAUCCACACCCCGCAUGGGGUGCGGAUCAAAGGGGGCCUCUGCACGCAAGCUCUCGCCGGGCGAGGGGGUCGCGACCGUAUCAGCUUGUUGGUGAGGUAACGGCUCACCAAGGCUACGACGCGUAGUGGGUCUAAGAGGACGACCCGCCACAUUGGGACUGAGAUACGGCCCAGACUCCUACGGGAGGCAGCAGUAGGGAAUAUUGCGCAAUGGCCGAAAGGUUGACGCAGCGACGCCGCGUGUGGGAAGGAGCCCUUCGGGGUGUAAACCACUGUCAGGGGGAGAGAACCCUAUGGUCGUAAACAGCGGCUAUAGGUGACGGUACCUCCAGAGGAAGCGCCGGCUAACUCCGUGCCAGCAGCCGCGGUAAGACGGAGGGCGCAAGCGUUGUUCGGAAUCACUGGGCGUAAAGCGCUCGCAGGCGGUCCCUUAAGUCCGCCGUGAAACUCCGAGGCUCAACCUCGGACUUGCGACGGAUACUGGGGGACUUGAGACUGGUAGAGGCUAGCGGAAUUCCUGGUGUAGCGGUGGAAUGCGUAGAUACCCGGAGGAACACCAGAGGCGAAGGCGGCUUUCUGGGCUGUACCUGACGCUGACCCGCGAAAGCGUGGGUAGCGAACGGGAUUAGAAACCCCGGUAGUCCACGCUGUAAACGAUGCACACUAGGCGUUCGGUUGCGCUUAGGCGCAAUUGAGUGUCGCAGCAAACGCGAUAAAUGUGCCGCCUGGGGAGUACGGUCGCAAGGCUAAAACUCAAAGGAAUUGACGGGGGCCCGCACAAGCAGCGGAGCGUGUGGUUUAAUUCGAGGCGACGCGAAGAACCUUACCUGGGUUUGACAUCAUGGUAGUACGGAAGCGGAAGCGGAAGGGCCCUUCGGGGAGCCAUGACAGGUGCUGCAUGGCUGUCGUCAGCUCGUG